rnacentral:sRNA from 1 species
AGUUAAGAAAAAUAAGGGCCGAUCAAGUCAAUGGCCAAGUUUUCUCCCAUCUUGCCACUGUAAAGAGCAGCAGUAGGACAGCUGUUUUCCCAGUCAGGAUACAGGAUCACUGUGGUGAUCGAGAUACUCCUGACAGUUUUGUUCCCUCAUCCUCUCCUGAGAGUGUGGUUGGGGUAGAAGUGAGCAGGUAUCCAGAUCUGUCAUUGGUCAAGGAGGAGCCUCCAGAACCGGUGCCGUCCCCCAUCAUUCCAAUUCUUCCUAGCACUGCUGGGAAAAGUUCAGAAUCAAGAAGGAAUGACAUCAAAACUGAGCCAGGCACUUUAUAUUUUGCGUCACCUUUUGGUCCUUCCCCAAAUGGUCCCAGAUCAGGUCUUAUAUCUGUAGCAAUUACUCUGCAUCCUACAGCUGCUGAGAACAUUAGCAGUGUUGUGGCUGCAUUUUCCGACCUUCUUCACGUCCGAAUCCCUAACAGCUAUGAG